CGGUUCAUCUGAACAGCAGCAAGACUUUCUCCCUCCCUGCCUACACUGGGCAAAUCACUCACCAGCUCCCAGCCUCCAAUCACCUGGGGCUGCAGAGCCUCCACCUCCUUCACAGCAGCUCACACACCACAUUUAGUUUGCUUUAUCACAUAUUUCAGUAAAAUCACAUAUUUAGGACUACAGAAGUUCAGGACUGGGCAAGAGAAGCAGAAAAUUGUCUAGCAGAAGUUGCUCUGUAUAAGGAAUGUAUCUGGGGAAGAGAGAGGCUUGAAUGUGGACUCAGCAUUGAUCUUCAAAUCUCAGGCAAUUGAACCGGGGUCUCCUUUUUUCGGAGGACUGUUGAAGACAUUUUCUGUGUUACAGAGUAAUCUGUAGCAAAAGAAAAACUUAAUCCAGGAAAGGUUUCAGGAGUGCAGUGACCCAGAGUGAGCAGAGUCUGGAGCUGCCAUCUCAGUUUGCUUCAAACAAAGGCAUCUUGCCAAGGUCAGUGACGAAUGGACUUCAUAGAUGUUUGCUUGUGACAAAUGUCUCUGGCACAGAUUUGAACAGGAGAAGAAAUUGGAUCUGCUUUUAGUCUUAAUAGGUAUCUUACUAGAGAUAAAUGCCUGUAAGCAUCAAGCUGAAGCUGUGAGGAAGCCUCUGAGAAGAGUCAGAGCUGCUCAGCUUUGUGGAGACAGGCCUGAGGGGCCCGGCUGGAAUUGGUGGCAGCAGGGGUAAAGAGGUUGCAGAGGCCCCAACAUGUUUUCAAUGCAGCAGGAUUAAGGUACUUUCUGAGCCUGGCUGCAGUCAGUGUGAGGUUGUCCAGGACAAUGCUGCCACCAAAAGGCACUCCCAGCCAUUGCUUUCUUGCUUCUUCUGUAGGUUAGUGGCUGAGCUUGAGGUGUUUUUAGCUGCAGUGCUGUGGUGAGAUGUGCUUGUUCAGUAGCAUAUGUCCUUAGGGGCCCAGCUUAUUCUUCCAAAGCAGGUAAUGUACAUUGUUACAGGAGACACCUUAGAUGAAUCACUUGCCAGUGAUUUCUGAAGGCACUUUGUUACCACCUGUGCCAUUUAGGCCUGUGUGGAGACCAAAUAAUCUCAUCAGUUCUUCAGAUAUGAAGUGAUCUGUACUGGACUCUUCCAUUGUCUCAUCCAAAACCGAAUGAGGCCAUGUCUGAGGUAGUGCUCUGUGCUUGGGGCAGCAACAGAGGUUAUGAAGUAGCAGUCAGACAUUCAUUUUGCAUACAUAGAUAGUUAGGAACCAGUGUAAGGCAUUCAGAAUUGCAGUGGUCAUCUAGGAUAUGUGUUUUUUCAGGGCUAAGAAAGAUGGAUGUACCUAAACUAUUAUGUCUUUUGUGUGUGAAGGGUUUUUUUGUCUCUAUGAAGUUUGUGUCUUCUACCUUGUCUUUGCUUGUGCUGCAGUUUCAAAGAAGACUAAAGAAGAAAGGGUGGGUUGGAGUCAGAAGAGGUGUUUCACCUCACUGACUUGUGGUCGGCAAGAACCAGCCUCCUGUUCAGAAACAAAGAAUCAUGGAAUUUGGAAGGGACCUGGAAGAUCACCUAGUUCACCCCCUCCUGUUCUUUCAGGGAUCAGAGAAAGUAGAAACAGAAAAAAAAAACCCAAACAUAUUUUUUCAAAAAGAUUACCUCUCAACAGAGAAAACCAUAAUGGCACCCAGCUGGCCACUGUGAUAGAUGACUUUACAAUCUUCAGGGUUUAUUGUGAAGUGCAAAGGAAUGGAGUAAUCUGAAAUCCAUUUGAACAACAAAAGCCUUGGAAAUUGUUUAAUGUUCAGAGAACAAAGUCUGCCAGAAUAGCUUUUCCCGUUAAUGAAAUAUCAACAAUCUAUUUGAGGGGGAAAAAGAUCACUCA